rnacentral:lncRNA from 1 species
CUUGACUCCGUACUGUGGGGCUUGCGCACCACACCUAACAGAUCCACGGGCUAUACUCCAUUCUUCAUGGUUUACGACGCCCGAGGCCAUACUCCCUAGCAACCACAUUCACAACACACCUCGAGUAUGCCUGUAUGAGGAAAAGGAAGCCGAGCAUAGUUGGCAACAUGACCUUGACGCCUUGGACGAGGAACGAGAGGUCGCCCGAGCACGCUCAACCUUUUUCGAACAACAGGCACUCUCCAUCUACACACUGGAGUCAUCCAUGAUCAAUUUGAGACAGUAAUUGAUAAAUAAAUGGAGAAAAGGGAAAAAGAAAUACCAUUAAGGCAAUUGUUGAAC